GACGAACGCUGGCGGCGUGCUUAACACAUGCAAGUCGAACGGUAAGGCCCUUCGGGGUACACGAGUGGCGAACGGGUGAGUAACACGUGGGUGAUCUGCCCUGCACUUCGGGAUAAGCCUGGGAAACUGGGUCUAAUACCGGAUAGGACCACUGCCUGCAUGGGUGGUGGUGGAAAGCUUUUGCGGUGUGGGAUGGGCCCGCGGCCUAUCAGCUUGUUGGUGGGGUGAUGGCCUACCAAGGCGACGACGGGUAGCCGGCCUGAGAGGGUGACGGGAGACACUGGGACUGCGAUACGGCCCAGACUCCUACGGGAGGCAGCAGUGGGGAAUAUUGCACAAUGGGCGCAAGCCUGAUGCAGCGACGCCGCGUGAGGGAUGACGGCCUUCGGGUUGUAAACCUCUUUCAGCACCGACGAAGCGCAAGUGACGGUAGGUGCAGAAGAAGGACCGGCCAACUACGUGCCAGCAGCCGCAGUAA
rnacentral:rRNA from 1 species